rnacentral:tRNA from 1 species
GCACUGGUGGUUCAGUGGUAGAAUUCUUGCCUUCCAUGCGGGAGACCUGGGUUCGAUUCCCAGCCAGUGCA